CAGCCGCCGCGGUAAUACGAGGGGGGCAAGCGUUGUUCGGAAUUAUUGGGCGUAAAGGGUGCGUAGGCGGCUUCUUAAGUCGGAUGUGAAAUCCCUGAGCUUAACUUAGGAAUUGCAUUCGAUACUGGGAAGCUAGAGUAUGGGAGAGGAUGGUAGAAUUCCAGGUGUAGCGGUGAAAUGCGUAGAGAUCUGGAGGAAUACCGAUGGCGAAGGCAGCCAUCUGGCCUAAUACUGACGCUGAGGUACGAAAGCAUGGGGAGCAAACAGGAUUAGAUACCCGCGUAGUCCCUGUCUCUUAUAC
rnacentral:rRNA from 1 species